ACAUAUUGCAUAUGAUGUAUCUUCUUUUUUUAAAAAAUAUUUGCUGUACAAUUUUUAGAAAAAAUGCGAUAAUCCCCAAUUUGAUGUAAAAGAAGUAGAAGAAUAUGUGAAUGGCACCUUGAUGCAAAAAGCCCUCGACAGCAUUUCAAAGAGGAUUGGUUUCGGUGUCUCAAGUGAGGACAUUACACAUAUGUAUGUGGCUUGUACAUUUGGGCAUGCUUUGAACAUCAGUGAUGCUUGGUGUUCUUUGUUUUCGAAUGACGACAUAAAAGUCAUGGAAUACGCUGAUGAUAUUGAAGACUAUUACAAAAGAUCCUAUGGGAAUGAUGUGAAUUACGAGCAAGCCUGUCCAUUAAUAAAAUAUAUAAUUGACUUAUUCAGGUAUG